rnacentral:rRNA from 1 species
CCUACGGGAGGCAGCAGUGAGGAAUAUUGGUCAAUGGGCGCGAGCCUGAACCAGCCAAGUCGCGUGAGGGAAGACGGCCCUACGGGUUGUAAACCUCUUUUGCCGGGGAGCAACGGGCGCCACGUGUGGCGCCCCUUAUAGUACCCGUCGAAAAAGCAUCGGCUAACUCCGUGCCAGCAGCCGCGGUAAUACGGAGGAUUCGAGCGUUAUCCGGAUUUAUUGGGUUUAAAGGGUGCGUAGGCGGGGCGUUAAGUCAGUGGUCAAAUGGAGGGGCUCAACCCCUUCCCGCCAUUGAAACUGGCGCUCUUGAGUGGAAGAGAAGUAGGCGGAAUGCGUGGUGUAGCGGUGAAAUGCAUAGAUAUCACGCAGAACCCCGAUUGCGAAGGCAGCAGGCCGGCGUCCGACUGACGCUGAAGCACGAAAGCGUGGGGAUCGAACAGGAUUAGAUACCCUUGUAGUC